rnacentral:rRNA from 1 species
UACGUAGGGGGCUAGCGUUGUCCGGAAUCAUUGGGCGUAAAGAGCGUGUAGGCGGCUCGGUAAGUCCGCUGUGAAAGUCCAGGGCUCAACCCUGGGAUGCCGGUGGAUACUGUCGAGCUCGAGUCCGGAAGAGGCGAGUGGAAUUCCUGGUGUAGCGGUGAAAUGCGCAGAUAUCAGGAGGAACACCAAUGGCGAAGGCAGCUCGCUGGGACGUGACUGACGCUGAGACGCGAAAGCGUGGGGAGCAAACAGG